rfam:Schistosoma mattheei strain Denwood, Zambia genome assembly, scaffold: SMTD_scaffold0003645
AGCUUUCUGUAUCCGUGCUGAGAUUUCAUUACACACCAGACUACAAGGGCUGAUGAGACUUCCAAGAUAAGUGAAGCG